UCCUCUUUCAUCAAAAACCUCUUCCUUCUCUCUUCGAAUCUCCAUUGUUGAAGCUUGUUCUCCGACUCCGGUUGCUCCCUUAGAACCAGAGUCGGGUCUUUGAUUUUGGCUUUCUUCCCAUGGCGUUUCGAGUUGUCUCUUCUCCGUCUCUGUCAUUCCGGUCGAUGACUUGUGAACUUAAUUGUUCUGUCUCCUGAUGUAUGAAGCUUUGGUCUCUAUAUUGCAUGUGCUAUUCUCUAUACGAGGAGACGCAAGCCGGAGGUAUCUUCCAAGUAUGGAGUCCUCGCCUUAUCUUCAUUCAAAGGAGCUCUGAUGUAGUCAACAUGCAUAGUUUUGUUCUUGUUUUUUUUUGUUUCUUUUGAUCUGGCCAUUCCUUAUUCUAGUUUAGAUCGGUAAAAUUAAAGAUCGUUUUAUCUCUCUGUUGAUCAUUGUUUCCCAUGUGUGGGUUGUUGUUUCCGGGUACCUUUUGUUUGGUUCGUCGGACUGUUCUUACCGGGAUUAGUGGUAAUCGCCAGUCUAUGUAUCUUGUGUUUGUUAAUCAUAAUGAAAAUAGUGUUUAAAAAAUAUAUUA